AAAAAGAUUGGCAACAGAUGUUAGCCCAGGUGUCAGUCUUUAAAAAAAAAGAUUUACUUGGCAGGGAGACCCAGAAGGGGUUCUGUAGACUUGUAUUCUCUGCCAUCCUCCCUGGACUUACAUUGGGUGGAAGAUGUUUCCAAAUUAUGUAGGUUAAUAGUUCUAGGCUCAGCGUCCACCUAGAGAGUUUUAUCUUAGCGUAAAGUUUUUGGAUGCGUGCUUAUCACAUCUUCAUAACUUAAUAUCCUUUCAGGUUUAUGAUGAAAAACAGAAUCAAAACCAAAAGUAAUCAGAUAUUUAAAAAUAAAUGGGAUGAGUCGAACACAGCUACUCUGAUCACAGUUCAUGUGACAAAGACCUGGGGUUUCAAUUGUUUAUAAACAAACAUGAAACAUCAGACUGAUGGAGCAUCACUGGAAAUGCUCACAGGACUUCUUCCCCCUCCUUAUAGCCGCUGAUGUACAGAGGGGAAGAGGGAGCUGGCAAUCUGUAAUAAAGACCCCUGGCAAACACAUCUCUAGCCUCAUGGCUGAAGAUCUAAAGGGCUUGCAGUGGGCAAAGCAUAGCGUAUUUUGAGUGUGGGGUAGAGGGGGCAAGUUGGGAAGUGGCCAUGGUGAGACUGAGUAGGAGUGAAUGGGUAGGGUGGGGCUGGAUUGGGAAAGAGGCCUUAUGCCGUUCCAAGGAAUUUGGGUUUUGUUGGUCAGGCCAUGGCAAAUCAGUACCGGAUUCUAGAGAAGUGACAUGAUUCAUCAUCCACUCAUUCUUUCCUUCCUUUCCCUCCCACUCUCUCCUUCUCCCUUCUCUCCCCGCCUCCUUCCUUCCUGACUCUAGCAUCAGCAUUUAGGAUGGAUUGGAUCCAGAUGAGAGUGGCAGCUGGGGCCAGUUGGGAGUUGGCUUCUGGAGCCCAGAGCACAGGCAGUUUGGGCAUAAGCAUAGGUAGUGGCAAUGGUGGCAGAGUCUCUGAAGAACUCUGAGCUAUGUGGUCACAUAAUCAGAGGGAUGUAUUGGGAAGAUUGCUCUCCAGCAAUGCAGACAAAUGGGAUGGGAGCCAGACAGAAGGCAGGGAAACCAGUGCUGCAAUACUUCAAACAAAAGACACCAAACUGUGAACGAGGGCAGGGGCAGUAGGGGUGGAGGGCAUGGAAGGAAGAGCUGUUUAAGAAGGAUAGGACCUAGGGGUUGUUGGAUGGGUGGGUGAGGAAGGUGGAAUCUAGCAUGACUCAGAUGACUGACUUGGACCAGUGGGUGAAUGACCUGACACAAAGCAAGAUUGGGAAAACAGGAACGCAAAUGAAUUUGGAGGAGAAAGUGAAUUUUGUUUUUGAUACACUAAGGUUGAAGUUCCUUCCUGGAAGGCUCAGGUGAGAGGCCUAGUCACCAGAUGUCAGUGGGGGGGUCAUCAUCAAAUGGAUGCAGGUCAUGGGCUGGGAAGGUUUGCAGGGAAGACAUGGACCCCCAGGAAUGCCAAUACGUAAGGGCGAAUAGAGGAUAAAAGAGGCAGGAAAAGACAAGGAGAACCCAGGGAGGCAUGAAAAGAAUCUGGAAAGAGUGUUGUUAAUGACAAACAAAAGAGGAGAGUUUCAACAAGGAGCGGUUUACAGCAAGGAUAAGUCCAUGUGGGCCAGGAGUGGGUGGCCAUGACUGAGCAGCAGUGACGAUCCUUAGAAGUGAGUGGGUUUAGGAUCUUGAAGGGGAACAGAAGAUGCCACCCCAAAACGGGCCACUUUGGCAUCCAGAUUUUCUUGAGCUGAAAAAAAAAUCAGGACCCGGCAGAUUCAGGAAGAACUUUUACCCUUCUCUUAACUGCCUAAAAGAAUUUAGAUAAGGAGACUGGCUCAGAAAGAGAGCAAUUACCAGAGAGAACAUUUUUUUAUCUUAAAGAUGUAUUUGCAUGGCAAGGCAAACUCCUAAUUAUCAAACGUCUGCUCUUCUCAUCUGCCAGUGAAUUACCUUCUCCUCAGACCCCUAUCCCAUUCCCUGGUUCAGGAUGGCCUGUAAACCUCAAUCUCCCAACUUGCCCUUGGGUCUCACAUUUUUAUGGGGCUUCCAUACAUACAAAAUUAAAUUUGUUUUUCUCCUGUUAAUCUGUCUUAUGUCAAUUUAAUUAUUCUAUCAGCCAGAGGACCUAGAAGGGAAAUUUUUUUCAGCCCCUAACGUCUGACAGGUCUUCUUGAGGACAGUGAAGGCUGCAGAGGAUGGAUGCUGGUAGAGGGAUGGAUGGUGAGGAAGCUGAGCCAGAUGCUAAAAUUCUCCAGUCAUGGGCCUGCAAUGACCAGGAAAGGAGGCUGGAAGCUGACGUUGCCUGGUGGCUUGGGAGGGGCCAAUGGUGCUGUGAGAGCCCCACCCGCGCCUCCCCUGCCAGGGCUGAGGGAUCAGAACGUGCAACCUCCGCGGGCUGGGGGUAGGGGAGGGAGGGUACGAGGGGGCUGUGCUUGGCGAUCAGAGCAAGCCCCAAGCUGAGUCAGAGGGCAGAGGACGGGAAGGUCAUUUCCAGGAGAUGGGGCGAAAUCUCCCCGCGUUCCCCAGUGAUGGAACAGCGCCCAACGCGAGGGACACGGGGCAAGGAGUGAAAGGGAGGAUCAUGAGCCCGAGGAGGCUGGAAGACCUGGGAAGAGGAAGGGACUGGCUUUCAGACUGAGGACAACGCUGGCCGGCGACCAGGGUCAGCGCAGGGUACCGCAUUGACUGUAUCAGCGGUCCAGCAGCAGAAGAGCUCACCUUAAGACUUCAUCACAUCACAUCUGACGUGGCGAUCCACCCUGAUGCCACUCAGACUACUGCCAGACACUCUUGGCUUUAUCAGGGUCACACCCACAAACCAUCAGAUCCACACCAGGUCACACCGGGACUGGGACAGUGUGUGUACGGUCCGUGUUCACCAAAGUCCUGAGGCCCAGCUUUCUGUUGUUGCUCCAGUUUUUAAUUAGAUAUUUGAGAACUUAUCUAUACCUUAGGCCAUUUUUACUGCACUUCCCAAAAUAAACACAAGAUAUAAAUAAUUUAA